GUCUCCAACCCAGUCCUCAUGGACCACCAACAGUCCAGGAUUUAUGUAUUUCCCUAACUUAUUCCAAUGGAGAUACUGAAAAAAACCUGGACUGUUGGUGGUCCAUGAGGACUGGGUUGGAGA
rnacentral:miRNA from 1 species